rnacentral:rRNA from 1 species
GCAGUAGCCGCGGGAAUACGUAGGGUGCGAGCGUUAAUCGGAAUUACUGGGCGUAAAGCGUGCGCAGGCGGUGCUGCAAGACCGAUGUGAAAGCCCCGGGCUUAACCUGGGAACUGCAUUGGUGACUGCAGCGCUGGAGUAUGGCAGAGGGGGGUGGAAUUCCACGUGUAGCAGUGAAAUGCGUAGAGAUGUGGAGGAACACCGAUGGCGAAGGCAGCCCCCUGGGCCAAUACUGACGCUCAUGCACGAAAGCGUGGGGAGCAAACAUGAUUAGAUACCCCUGUAGUCCCUGUCUCUUAUAA